AGAGUUUGAUCCUGGCUCAGGACGAACGCUGGCGGCGCGCCUAACACAUGCAAGUCGAACGGAGCUGUUUUCUCUGAAGUUUUCGGAUGGAAGAGAGUUCAGCUUAGUGGCGAACGGGUGAGUAACACGUGAGCAACCUGCCUUUCAGUGGGGGACAACAUUUGGAAACGAAUGCUAAUACCGCAUAAGACCACAGUGUCGCAUGGCACAGGGGUCAAAGGAUUUAUCCGCUGAAAGAUGGGCUCGCGUCCGAUUAGCUAGAUGGUGAGGUAACGGCCCACCAUGGCGACGAUCGGUAGCCGGACUGAGAGGUUGAACGGCCACAUUGGGACUGAGACACGGCCCAGACUCCUACGGGAGGCAGCAGUGGGGAAUAUUGCACAAUGGGGGAAACCCUGAUGCAGCGACGCCGCGUGGAGGAAGAAGGUCUUCGGAUUGUAAACUCCUGUUGUUGAGGAAGAUAAUGACGGUACUCAACAAGGAAGUGACGGCUAACUACGUGCCAGCAGCCGCGGUAAAACGUAGGUCACAAGCGUUGUCCGGAAUUACUGGGUGUAAAGGGAGCGCAGGCGGGAGAACAAGUUGGAAGUGAAAUCCAUGGGCUCAACCCAUGAACUGCUUUCAAAACUGUUUUUCUUGAGUAGUGCAGAGGUAGGCGGAAUUCCCGGUGUAGCGGUGGAAUGCGUAGAUAUCGGGAGGAACACCAGUGGCGAAGGCGGCCUACUGGGCACCAACUGACGCUGAGGCUCGAAAGUGUGGGUAGCAAACAGGAUUAGAUACCCUGGUAGUCCACACCGUAAACGAUGAUUACUAGGUGUUGGAGGAUUGACCCCUUCAGUGCCGCAGUUAACACAAUAAGUAAUCCACCUGGGGAGUACGACCGCAAGGUUGAAACUCAAAGGAAUUGACGGGGGCCCGCACAAGCAGUGGAGUAU
rnacentral:rRNA from 1 species